ACACCUGCAGCAUAGGGAAGUUCCCUGACUAGGGGUCGAAUCAGAGUUACAGCUGCCAGUCUAUGCCACAGCCACAGCCACACAGGAUCCAAGCCACAUCUGCGACCUACACCACAGUUCAUGGCAAUGCUGGAUCCUUAACCCACUGAGUGAGGCCAGAGAUCGAACCCACAUCCUCAUGGAUACUAGUUGGGCUCAUUAUCACUGAGCCACCACAGGAACUUCCUCAACUUGCCCUUUAUGAGCCUCAGUUUCCACAUCUCUAAGGAAGAAAUUCAAGAAUCACUAAGGUCUUUUCCAGUCUAGACAUUUCAUACAGAGGGAUUUUAAGGCUAAAGGUCAAAGGGAAAGAUCCUCUAAGUUUGGCUAAAACCAAGUUACUUUGUUGAACUCAUGAAGGGUCUGUAUUCUGGAGUCUAUCUCCUGCUUUCCGAAAUCAGGAUUUCAAGACCUGCUCUCCUCAUACAACAAUCUCUAUGUCUGACAAUUUCACCUCCUAAAUCGUUGCUCAUGACCAUCCACUGGAAUCCAUCUGCCCCUCUCCAUUUCUGCUGCCUUCAGUUUAGGCCCAGCCAUCAUCUCUUACCUGGAUUAUUCCAAGGGGCUUGGAAUUGUACCCACUUUAUCCUUUACAUGGCAGUCAUCGGAAUCAUUCUAAAAUGCAAAACAUGUCACUCUCUAAAACAUGUCAGUAUCUUACCACAGUCUAUAGAAGAAGAAAAAAAAAAAGCCCUCCUUCACAACCAACUUCUUCUUUCAUUUCCACUGCCUCAUUUUUCACUGUCUUCUAUCAUAAACUUCAUGCUCUAAGAAUGCCACAUUCUGCAAUGCCAUGUCAUGCCACUGAAUCCUCCAAACAAUUGCUUUGGCUGUCCUUUCUGCCAGGAAUGUGCUGCCCUCCUCUUUCAGAUUGGUUGCUCUUAUUCAUGCACCCUCUGAGCUGGAUGACUUCUUGAACCCUGUUUGAAACAACUGUCCAUGUUAUGUGCUUCCAUAAUACCCUGUUCAUACCUUUUGCUUAUCACUGGCUGAAUCAUUUUUAAGCUGUCAAAAACAUCGGCGUUUAGAAGGUACACUUAGCAUUCAAAGCUGGUAAAGGAGACUCAGAGGGAAAAACCAUGGUAGAUGGGCACCAGGAGAGUGUGGCAGCAGAAAAGCCAACCCAAAAAGGAGUUUUUAAAAAGAUGAGAACAUAAAGAGCACUCCUAAAACUCAACAACAAUAAAACAAACAAAUUCAAAAAUGGGCAAAGGACUUAUUUUUCCAAAGAAAAUACAUGUAAACAGCCAAUAGCACAUGAAAAGAUGGUCAGCCUCACUCAUCAUUAGGGAAAUGCAAAUAGAAACUACAAUGAUAUAUUCCUUCACAUCUAUUAGAAUGGCUGCUAUCAAAAAAAAAAAAAACCCAGAAAAUAAUAAGUGUUGAUGAAAACUAUGUGGGGAAAUUGGAACUGCUAUGCACUAUUUCUGGAAAUAUAAAAUGGUAUAGCUACUGUAGGAAACAAUAUAUGGCAGUGUCUCAAAAAAUUAAAAAUAGAGUUACUAUAUGAUCCAGCAAUUCUGCUUCUGGUAUACAUCCAAAAAGAAUUGAAAACAGGGACUCAAACAGAUAUUUGUUCACAGCUGGAUUAUUCACAAUAGCUGAAACAUGGAAACAAUCAGUGUCCAUCUACAGAUAAAUAGAUUUUUUUAAAUGUUGUAUAUGUACAAAAUGGAAUAUGAUUUAGUUUUUAAAAGGAAGAAAAUUCAGACACAUGGAUGACGUUUAAGGACAUCAUGCUAAGUGGAAUAAGCCAGUUCUAAAAAGACUAAUACUGUAUGAUUCUUGUUAUGUAUACUUUGUAAGGUACCUAGAGCAGCCAAAAUUAAAGAGACAGAAAGUAGGAACAGAGGGAAGGGAAAAUGGGGAGUUACUGUUUAAUGGGUUUAAAGUUUCAAAACAAACAUGGAGUUGAUCUGUAUAAAAUUCUGCUUGGACAUCCAGCGAAAUGCAUUCUGAAAAGUGACCACUGGAUUGGGCAAUACAGAAACCCUUGGUGAUCUCUGAAGUUUUUUUGAUGUGCUGACCAAUGAAAGAACACACAGAUUUGUUUAUUUACUGAUCUCAGUUGUUGCUUAGAGCUUGCUAGCUUUCAGACACAGAGGUUUAUAGGAGCACAAUCUUUUGCAAUUUUUGUUUAAUGAGAUUGUGUCUUAUGUUAGAGGAAGCCAAAGUAGAUUCAAAGUGAGAGCUCUAUAGGGCAGGCCACUGUGGCCUCUUCAGGGGUCCUUUGCCUUCUAGCAGGAGCGAGAAAUUCUGAAAAAUCUAAUCACAACAGUAAGCAUCAGAGAUGGGUUUUUCUUGCCCGCAGGAGGGUUGGCAUCAGAGGCAGGUUUCAGAGAACCUCGAUCAGAGAAGCCAAUGGAUCAGACCCAUUUGGAGAGAGAGGCUCCGUUUCCCUCUCUGCCUUGAUACAGCUGCAGAAAUGGGCCUCCGAAGACAAGGGCAUGAAAACCACAUGCCCUGUUAGGGUCUGUAAGGCUUAAGCCUCUGGUUUCCUCUCCUAUAG
rnacentral:lncRNA from 1 species